GACGAACGCUGGCGGCGUGCUUAACACAUGCAAGUCGAACGGAAAGGCCCUGCUUUUGUGGGGUGCUCGAGUGGCGCACGGGUGAGUAACACGUGAGUAACCUGCCCUUGACUUUGGGAUAACUUCAGGAAACUGGGGCUCAUACCGGAUAGGAGCUCCUGCUGCAUGGUGGGGGUUGGAAAGUUUCGGCGGUUGGGGAUGGACUCGCGGCUUAUCAGCUUGUUGGUGGGGUAGUGGCUUACCAAGGCUUUGACGGGUAGCCGGCCUGAGAGGGUGACCGGCCACAUUGGGACUGAGAUACGGCCCAGACUCCUACGGGAGGCAGCAGUGGGGAAUAUUGCACAAUGGGCGGAAGCCUGAUGCAGCAACGCCGCGUGCGGGAUGACGGCCUUCGGGUUGUAAACCGCUUUCGCCUGUGACGAAGCGUGAGUGACGGUAAUGGGUAAAGAAGCACCGGCUAACUACGUG
rnacentral:rRNA from 1 species